UACGGAGGGUGCAAGCGUUAGUCGGAAUUACUGGGCGUAAAGGGUGCGUAGGUGGGGAUGUAAGUUAGAUGUGAAAUACCGUUGCUCAACAACGGCCGUGCAUCUAAAACUGCGUUUCUAGAGGGAAAGCGGAGAAAACGGAAUUCCAUGUGUAGCGGUGAAAUGCGUAGAUAUAUGGAAGAACACCUGUGGCGAAAGCGGUUUUCUAGCUAACCCCUGACACUGAGGCACGAAAGCAAGGGGAGCAAACAGG
rnacentral:rRNA from 1 species